AGAAUAUACAGAAGUGGUGCAGAAGACAAAAGCACAGAAGUGAGGUGAUGCUUUAAAGGCACAGUCCUUAAUCAUGACAGGCUGAUGAUGUUUUAAAGGCACAGUCCUUAAUCAUGACAGGCUGAUGAUGUUUUAAAGGUACAGAAGUGAGGUGAUGCUUUAAAGGCACAGUCUUUAAUCAUGACAGGCUGAUGAUGUUUUAAAGGCACAGUCCUUAAUCAUGACAGGCUGAUGAUGUUUUAAAGGCACAGUCCUUAAUCAUGACAGGCUGAUGAUGUUUUAAAGGCACAGAGGUGAGGUGAUGUUUUAAAGGCACAGUCCUUAAUCAUGACAGGCU
ensembl:lncRNA